GGGAAUUGGCGGCAGCUAACACAUGCAGUCGAACGGUAACAGGCAAGCAGCUUGCUGCUUUGCUGACGAGUGGCGGACGGGUGAGUAAUGUCUGGGAAACUGCCUGAUGGAGGGGGAUAACUACUGGAAACGGUAGCUAAUACCGCAUAACGUCGCAAGACCAAAGAGGGGGACCUUCGGGCCUCUUGCCAUCGGAUGUGCCCAGAUGGGAUUAGCUAGUAGGUGGGGUAACGGCUCACCUAGGCGACGAUCCCUAGCUGGUCUGAGAGGAUGACCAGCCCACUGGAACUGAGACACGGUCCAGACUCCUACGGGAGGCAGCAGUGGGGAAUAUUGCACAAUGGGCGCAAGCCUGAUGCAGCCAUGCCGCGUGUAUGAAGAAGGCCUUCGGGUUGUAAAGUACUUUCAGCGGGGAGGAAGGGAGUAAAGUUAAUACCUUUGCUCAUUGACGUUACCCGCAGAAGAAGCACCGGCUAACUCCGCCAGCGCCGCGGUAAUACGGAGGGUGCAAGCGUUAAUCGGAAUUACUGGGCGUAAAGCGCACGCAGGCGGUUUGUUAAGUCAGAUGUGAAAUCCCCGGGCUCAACCUGGGAACUGCAUCUGAUACUGGCAAGCUUGAAACGUAGAGGGGGGUAGAAUUCCAGGUGUAGCGGUGAAAUGCGUAGAGAUCUGGAGGAAUACCGGUGGCGAAGGCGGCCCCCUGGACGAAGACUGACGCUCAGUGCGAAAGCGUGGGGAGCAAACAGGAUUAGAUACCCUGGUAGUCCACGCCGUAAACGAUGUCGACUUGGAGGUUGUGCCCUUGAGGCGUGGCUUCCGGAGCUAACGCGUUAAGUCGACCGCCUGGGGAGUACGGCCGCAAGGUUAAAACUCAAUGAAUUUGACGGGGGCCCGCACAAGCGGUGGAGCAUGUGGUUUAAUUCGAUGCAACGCGAGACCUUACCUGUCUGACAUCCACGAAGUUUUCAGAGAUGAGAUGUGCUUCGGACGUGAGACAGUGCUGCAUGCUGUCGUCAGCUCGUGUGUGAAAUGUUGGUAGUUCCCGCACGACGCACUUAUCAUUGUGCACCGGUCCGCCGGACUCAAGGAACUUGCCAUGAUAACUGGAGAAAAGUGGGGCUAAAC
rnacentral:rRNA from 1 species